rnacentral:rRNA from 1 species
UCUAUUUUGUUGGUUUUCGGAAUCUGAGGUAAUGAUCAAUGGGGACAGGCGGGGGCAUUCGUAUUGCGACGUUAGAGGUGAAAUUCUUGGAUCGUCGCAAGACGGACCGAAGCGAAAGCAUUUGCCAAGUAUGUUCUCGUCGAUCAAGAACGAAAGUUAGAGGUUCGAAGGCGAUCAGAUACCGCCCUAGUUCUAACCAUAAACUAUGCCUGCCAGCGAUCCGCCGAAGUUCCUCCGAUGACUCGGCGGGCAGCUUCCGGGAAACCAGAGCUUUUGGGUUCCGGGGGAAGUAUGGUUGCAAAGCUGAAACUUAAAGGAAUUGACGGAAGGGCACCACCAGGAGUGGAGCCUGCGGCUUAAUUUGACUCAACACGGGAAAACUCACCAGGCCCGGACACCGGAAGGAUUGACAGAUUGAGAGCUCUUUCUUGAUUCGGUGGGUGGUGGUGCAUGGCCGUUCUUAGUUGGUGGAGCGAUUUGUCUGGUUAAUUCCGAUAACGAACGAGACUCUAGCCUACUAACUAGGCGUACCCGGUAUCCACAAUCGUGCUACCGGCGAUCAAAUUUCUUCUUAGAGGGACAGGCGGCUUCUAGCCGCACGAGACUGAGCAAUAACAGGUCUGUGAUGCCCUUAGAUGUCCUGGGCCGCACGCGCGCUACACUGAAGGAAUCAGCGUGUCUUCCCUGUCCGAAAGGACCGGGUAAUCCGCUGAACCUCCUUUGUGCUAGGGAUUGGGGCUUGCAAUUGUUCCCCAUGAACGAGGAAUUCCCAGUAAGCGCGAGUCAUAAGCUCGCGUUGAUUACGCCCCUGUCCCCUUAAUA